rnacentral:lncRNA from 1 species
AACCACCUUGUAUUUCCCCUAUUUCUUUGUCCUACUCUCUAUCUCUCUCUAAAAAAUUUCUAUAUUUCUUUACUUCUUUCGUUGGAUGUUUUCCUCUACUUCAGAACUUUGGUUUCUUACAUGCUUUGAUGGGCGAAGGCCUAGAUCUUCCUCUUUUAGAUCUAAUACUUGUAGCCUUCAUUCUUGUUUUAAUUAAUACACAUUGUGGUGGAAAAAAUA